rnacentral:rRNA from 1 species
GAUUAAGUUAUUAAGGGCGCACGGUGGAUGCCUUGGCACUAGAAGCCGAUGAAGGACGUUACUAACGACGAUAUGCUUUGGGGAGCUGUAAGUAAGCUUUGAUCCAGAGAUUUCCGAAUGGGGAAACCCAGCAUGAGUUAUGUCAUGUUAUCGAUAUGUGAAUACAUAGCAUAUCAGAAGGCACACCCGGAGAACUGAAACAUCUUAGUACCCGGAGGAAGAGAAAGAAAAUUCGAUUCCCUUAGUAGCGGCGAGCGAAACGGGAAGAGCCCAAACCAACAAGCUUGCUUGUUGGGGUUGUAGGACACUCUAUACGGAGUUACAAAGGACGACAUUAGACGAAUCAUCUGGAAAGAUGAAUCAAAGAAGGUAAUAAUCCUGUAGUCGAAAAUGUUGUCUCUCUUGAGUGGAUCCUGAGUACGACGGAGCACGUGAAAUUCCGUCGGAAUCUGGGAGGACCAUCUCCUAAGGCUAAAUACUCUCUAGUGACCGAUAGUGAACCAGUACCGUGAGGGAAAGGUGAAAAGCACCCCGGAAGGGGAGUGAAAUAGAACCUGAAACCGUGUGCUUACAAGUAGUCAGAGCCCGUUAAUGGGUGAUGGCGUGCCUUUUGUAGAAUGAACCGGCGAGUUACGAUUUGAUGCAAGGUUAAGCAGUAAAUGUGGAGCCGUAGCGAAAGCGAGUCUGAAUAGGGCGUUUAGUAUUUGGUCGUAGACCCGAAACCAGGUGAUCUACCCUUGGUCAGGUUGAAGUUCAGGUAACACUGAAUGGAGGACCGAACCGACUUACGUUGAAAAGUGAGCGGAUGAACUGAGGGUAGCGGAGAAAUUCCAAUCGAACCUGGAGAUAGCUGGUUCUCUCCGAAAUAGCUUUAGGGCUAGCCUCAAGUGAUGAUUAUUGGAGGUAGAGCACUGUUUGGACGAGGGGCCCCUCUCGGGUUACCGAAUUCAGACAAACUCCGAAUGCCAAUU